UACAGAGGUGGCGAACGUUGUUCGGAUUUACUGGGCGUAAAGGGUCCGCAGGCGGUCUUGUGUGUCGGGUGUGAAAGCUCACGGCUCAACCGUGGAAUUGCAUUCGAAACUGCAAGACUAGAGUACUGGAGGGGAGAAGGGAACACUUGGUGUAGCGGUGAAAUGCGUAGAUAUCAAGUGGAACACCGGUGGCGAAGGCGCUUCUCUGGACAGAUACUGACGCUCAUGGACGAAAGUUAGGGUAGCGAAAGGGAUUAGAUACCCCUGUAGUCCUAACCGUAAACGGUGUGCACUAGGCGUGGGUGGCUUUACCCCCAUCCGUGCCUGAGCUAACGCAUUAAGUGCACCGCCUGGGGAGUACGGUCGCAAGAUUAAAACUCAAAGGAAUUGACGGGGACCCGCACAAGCGGUGGAGCAUGUGGCUUAAUUCGAUGCAACGCGAAGAACCUUACCUGGGCUUGACAUCUAGCUGCAUACGACCUGAAAGGGACGUAGCCUUCGAGGGUGCUAGACAGGUGCUGCAUGGCUGUCGUCAGCCCGUGCCGUGAGGUGUUGGGUUAAGUCCCGCAACGAGCGCAACCCCUGUGUUUAGUUGCCAGCACGUUAUGGUGGGAACUCUAAACAGACUGCCUGUGAAGGCAGGAGGAGGGUGGGGAUGACGUCAAGUCAGUAUGGUCCUUAUGUCCAGGGCUGCACACGUGCUACAAUGGGAUGUACAGUGGGAGGCCAAGCCGCGAGGUGGAGCAAAUCCUCAAAACAUCCCCCAGUUCGGAUUGUAGUCUGAAACUCGACUACAUGAAGUUGGAAUCGCUAGUAAAGGCGUAUCAGCUACGACGCCUUGAAUACGUUCCCGGGUCU
rnacentral:rRNA from 1 species